rnacentral:rRNA from 1 species
UACGAAGGGGCUAGCGUUGCUCGGAAUCACUGGCGUAAAGCGCACGUAGGCGGACUCUUAAGUCGGUGGUGAAAUCCUGGAGCUCAACUCCAGAACUGCCUUCGAUACUGGGAGUCUCGAGUCCGGGAGAGGUGAGUGGAACUGCGAGUGUAGAGGUGAAAUUCGUAGAUAUUCGCAAGAACACCAGUGGCGAAGGCGGCUCACUGGCCCGGUACUGACGCUGAGGUGCGAAAGCGUGGGGAGCAAACAGGAUUGAG